rnacentral:rRNA from 2 species
UCCGGUGGCGAUGCGCUUAGGGGAGACACCCGUUCCCAUCCCGAACACGAUGGUUAAGACUUAAGCGGCCGAUGAUACUAUGCUGGAGACGGCAUGGGAAAGCAGGUGGCUGCCGGAU